CCUACGGGUGGCAGCAGUGGGGAAUAUUGGACAAUGGGCGAAAGCCUGAUCCAGCCAUGCCGCGUGUGUGAAGAAGGCCUUCGGGUUGUAAAGCACUUUCAGUGGGGAAGAAAGCCUUGGGGCUAAUACCCUCGAGGAAGGACAUCACCCACAGAAGAAGCACCGGCUAACUCCGUGCCAGCAGCCGCGGUAAUACGGAGGGUGCGAGCGUUAAUCGGAAUUACUGGGCGUAAAGCGCGCGUAGGCGGUCUGAUAAGCCGGUUGUGAAAGCCCCGGGCUCAACCUUGGAACGGCAUCCGGAACUGUCAGGCUAGAGUGCAGGAGAGGAAGGUAGAAUUCCCGGUGUAGCGGUGAAAUGCGUAGAGAUCGGGAGGAAUACCAGUGGCGAAGGCGGCCUUCUGGACUGACACUGACGCUGAGGUGCGAAAGCGUGGGUAGCAAACAGGAUUAGAUACCCUUGUAGUC
rnacentral:rRNA from 1 species